GACUGACCGAUAGUGAACCAGUACCGUGAGGGAAAGGCGAAAAGAACCCCGGCGAGGGGAGUGAAAAAGAACCUGAAACCGUGUACGUACAAGCAGUGGGAGCACAGGUUUACCUGUGUGACUGCGUACCUUUUGUAUAAUGGGUCAGCGACUUAUAUUCUGUAGCAAGGUUAACCGAAUAGGGGAGCCGGAGGGAAACCGAGUCUUAAUUGGGCGUUAAGUUGCAGGGUAUAGACCCGAAACCCGGUGAUCUAGCCAUGGGCAGGUUGAAGGUUGGGUAACACUAACUGGAGGACCGAACCGACUAAUGUUGAAAAAUUAGCGGAUGACCUGUGGCUGGGGGUGAAAGGCCAAUCAAACCGGGAGAUAGCUGGUUCUCCCCGAAAGCUAUUUAGGUAGCGCCUCGUGAAUUCAUCUCCGGGGGUAGAGCACUGUUUCGGCUAGGGGGCCAUCCCGGCUUACCAACCCGAUGCAAACUGCGAAUACCGGAGAAUGUUAUCACGGGAGACACACGGCGGGUGCUAACGUCCGUCGUGAAGAGGGAAACAACCCAGACCGCCAGCUAAGGUCCCAAAGUCAUGGUUAAGUGGGAAACGAUGUGGGAAGGCCCAGACAGCCAGGAUGUUGGCUUAGAAGCAGCCAUCAUUUAAAGAAAGCGUAAUAGCUCACUGGUCGAGUCGGCCUGCGCGGAAGAUGUAACGGG
rnacentral:rRNA from 1 species